GACAGAGGCCCCGAGCGUUAGGCGGAAUCACUGGGCUUAAAGCGCGUGUAGGCGGAGGGCUAAGUACCUUGUGAAAUCCCCGGGCUCAACCCGGGAACUGCUCGGUAUACUGGCCUCUUGAGGCAUCUAGGGGCGAGCGGAAACAAACGGUGGAGCGGUGAAAUGCGUAGAUAUCGUUUGGAACGCCAACGGAGAAAUCAGCUCGCUGGGGAUGUCCUGACGCUGAGGAGCGAAAAGCA
rnacentral:rRNA from 1 species